ensembl:misc_RNA Metazoa_SRP Metazoan signal recognition particle RNA
GCCAGGAGUGGUGGCGCCCACCUGUAAUCCCAGCUACUUGGGAGGCUGAGGCAGGAGAAUCACUUGAACCCAGGAGGCCGAGGUUGCAGUGAGCCGAGAUCACGCCACUGCAUCCCAGCCUGGGUGACAGAGUGAGACUCCAUCUCAA